CUCUGUGACUCCUACGGGAGGCAGCAGUGGGGAAUAUUGCACAAUGGGCGCAAGCCUGAUGCAGCAACGCCGUGUGAGUGAAGAAGGUUUUCGGAUCGUAAAACUCUGUCCUAAGGGAAGAAACAAAUGACGGUACCUUAGGAGGAAGCCCCGGCUAACUACGUGCCAGCAGCCGCGGUAAUACGGUAGGGGCAAGCGUUAUCCGGAAUCACUGGGCGUAAAGGGUGCGUAGGCGGCUUAGCAAGCCAGGGGUGAAAGGCAUUGGCUCAACCAAUGUAAGCCUUUGGAACUGUUAAGCUUGAGUGCAGGAGAGGUAAGUGGAAUUCCUAGUGUAGAGGUGAAAUUCGUAGAUAUUAGGAGGAACACCAGUGGCGAAGGCGACUUACUGGACUGUAACUGACGCUGAUGCACGAAAGCGUGGGUAGCGAACAGGAUUAGAUACCCUGGUAG
rnacentral:rRNA from 1 species